GCUUUCGUACAAACCCUUCACACCAGUCUUCCGUACAAACCCUUCACAGUUAUUUUAUUCAAAUGAAAAUAAAGUCGAAACAAAUACUAAAUUAAAAAAAACUCAGAAAGACAAGCAAACAAAAACAUAAAUAAGAGUGAAUUGGGCAGAAGUCUAAUGACCCUUAGCUACAAGCUCCGCAGCCAUUGCUGUAGUUGGGAGGGCCGGAAUAGCUCCUUUCUGGAUCGUGCAGAUCGCUCCGCAGGCAUUGGCAAACUUAAGCGCCUCCCUCAACUUAUCCUCUUUCUCGAAGAGCGAAUUGUCCUUGGCAAUCGAUACUAAAAGUGAACCAACAAAGGCAUCACCGGCUCCUGUUGUAUCAAUUGUCUUGACUGCAAAUCCGGGUACUGUUCCUUUAAAACCCUUGGUAAAAUAUCUGCAGCCCUUCUCACCAUCAGUAACAAUCAGAAGCUUAAGGCCCUCGAAAAAGAGGGACAUAACAUUUUUUUCAUCUUGUGCGUCCUUCUUAGUUAGGAAAGCUACUUCGUCAUCGCUCACCUUGAUGAAGUCAGCUUCCUUCCAGAUGCUCAUAAUGCCAUCGCGGGCAGCAUCCUCAGAUGGCCAAAGAGGGAGCCUGACAUUAGGAUCAUAAGAGCACAGGAUGCCCGCUGCCUUGGCAGCGCGCAUGGCAGCAAGGUGGGCAGAGCGGCAGGGCUCGGUGAUGAGGCUGAUCGAACCAUAAUGGAAGAUAGCGGCACGACGGAUGAGACCGAGGUUAAGCUCGGCCUCUGUAAGAAGCAUGUCUGCACUGGGGUUGCGAUAGAACAUAAACUCACGCUCACCA
rnacentral:misc_RNA from 1 species